GACGAACGCUGGCGGCGUGCCUAAUGCAUGCAAGUCGCACGCAGUCACUUCGGUGGCUGAGUGGCGCACGGCUGAGGAACACGUGAGCACCUGCCCUCUUGUGGGGGAUAACAGCGCGAAAGCGCUGCUAAUCCCGCAUACGAUCCCGCAAGGGAUGAAAGCGGCAACGCGCAGGAGGAGGGGCUUGCGGCCUAUCAGGUUGUUGGUGUGGUAACGGCGCACCAAGCCGAUGACGGGUAGCUGGUCUGUGAGGACAACCAGCCAGACUGGGACUGAGACACGGCCCAGACUCCUACGGGAGGCAGCAGCAAGGAAUUUUCCCUAUUGGGCGCAAGCCUGAGGGAGCAACGCCGCGUGCAGGAUGACGGCCUUCGGGUUGUAAACUGCUUUUCGGGGGGGCGAUGAUGACGGUACCCCCGGAAUAAGCCCCGGCUAACUCUGUGCCAGCAGCCGCGGUAAGACAGAGGGGGCAAGCGUUGUCCGGACUUACUGGGCGUAAAGCGCACGCAGGCGGUCACAGGCGUCGGUGCUGAAAGCGCACCGCUUAACGGUGCAACGCGUGCCGAUACGCUGUGACUGGAGCCAUGCAGAGGCCAGUGGAAUUGCCGGUGUAGUGGUGAAAUGCGUAGAGAUCGGCAGGAACACCCAAGGGGAAGCCAGCUGGCUGGGCAUCGGCUGACGCUCAUGUGCGACAGCGUGGGGAGCGAACUGGAUUAGAUACCCAGGUAGUCCACGCCGUAAACGAUGGACGCUCGGUGUUUGGCGGGUAAUCAGUCCCGCUGGGCGCCUCAGCUAACGCGCAAGCGUCCCGCCUGGGAACUACGAGCGCAAGCUUA
rnacentral:rRNA from 1 species